UAAUGAACACUGGCUCUUAUGGGAUCAGCUAAGCCGUUCACAUUCCUAGUCCGGUGUUUAUGCCACUUGGGUGGACCUGGGAAAAUCAAGGGGCCACCGGCAUGUUGGCCCAAAGCCAGGGUUUAAUUAAGCCUUAAAUCUCCAGUGAUUCCACCAGGGGCCUGAUCCUCGUGAGGCCAGCCAAAGGGAGAAGCAUCCCAGGGAGCACUGGGUCGGCUUCUUUUGAGUCUUCCCCUCAACCCAUUGUUUGGGGGAAGCCUUGCUUGUUAGUGCAAAUAAUCCCCUCAAAGUCACAGGGCAGCGUAGAGAAAACCGGAGGACCAGCCCUGCGCUGGAGCGGCCUAAUUAUGGCACCUCUAUCACCGUGAGCGAGUUGUUUCCCACACCCGUCUGCUGCAUUUGGUGGAACGUGGAUAUCCAUGAGCAAAGAGAGGAUGGAUUAGCACAAUAACACUUUACUUUCGAAGUUUCUGUUGAAGGAUUCUUGGUGUUUGAUCAUAAAUUGCCAAAAAUAAGUCUUGUUCAGGAAAUGGAAUGAUUAGGGAUGACUAUUUGAAUUGGAAGGCCCAGAAGGUCCUAUUACCCUGCAGGGCAGAGGUCUGGGACACACAGCCGAGGCCUAAUCUCUGGGGGACCAGCAGCCCCCUGGGAAGGAAGAGAGUGAUAAGAAGUGCUUCUAAUGGGGGGAGGGACCUGGGAUUUUCCGGGGAUUUUUAUCUUUUCCUUCAUGUCCCCAUCCCUCUUUCAUAGCCUUGGAGCAGAGAAAUCGCAGCCUUUUACCAUUUAGGGGAAGAGGACCAGUGCCAGAAUGGAAAGUCGUGGUGCAGACCCACCUCAUGUCUGGAUGGCCAAAGAAUGAAUUUGAAAAGCAGCGUCAGCCAAGCGCCACUGGGGAAGCAGCUCUGCAAAAUGAGCCCAGCGGUCAUGGCCUCACAGCCCCAGCGGGCCCCUGCGGCUUACGUGUCCCGGUGCUCAGCUGCCUCAGCCUGGGCAAGAAGAGGGAGCUAUGGCCGAAGAACAGGUCAACACAGAACAAAGGGAAGAUGGUCAGUGCUCCUCCCCCACAGGGACGAACACUAUCAUCUCCCAAAGAAACGCAGAGAUGGUGAGGAAGCCGGAGCUCAGAGAGGGUGUUUCUGUGCCUAACGUCACACUGUUACUGAGUGACAGAACUGGAAUUAAAAUCCAUGCAGUCAGAGACGGAAGCACCCAUAUGUUCCCUUCUGUGCCCCCGUGUGUUGCAAACUCCAACAUGCCUCCAAAUACCUGGCUGUCACGUUAAAACGUAUUUCCUGAUUAAGAAGAGGUCUGAGACCUGCCUCUGCAAGGUGAUGGCCACACGCAACCCCAGGACCAGACUUUGAGAAGCGGGGGUCAACACCCCGCGGGCUUUCUCAACCCAUGCUCUCUGUGCCGUCGGGGCUGGCACUUCUCUGGCUCUCCAGUAGCUUUGCCACCAGAGCGGACCGAAAACCACCCGUGCAACCCGGCCAGCUACAGUGAUGCACCUAGUUACUGAUCGGCAUUUCCUCCCCGCCAUCACCAGGCUGAGUAGAAAAA